GCGUCUGCGGCAGGCCUACACAUGCAAGUCGAGCGGAUGAAAGGAGCUUGCUCCUGGAUUCAGCGGCGGACGGGUGAGUAAUGCCUAGGAAUCUGCCUGGUAGUGGGGGACAACGUUUCGAAAGGAACGCUAAUACCGCAUACGUCCUACGGGAGAAAGCAGGGGACCUUCGGGCCUUGCGCUAUCAGAUGAGCCUAGGUCGGAUUAGCUAGUUGGUGAGGUAAUGGCUCACCAAGGCGACGAUCCGUAACUGGUCUGAGAGGAUGAUCAGUCACACUGGAACUGAGACACGGUCCAGACUCCUACGGGAGGCAGCAGUGGGGAAUAUUGGACAAUGGGCGAAAGCCUGAUCCAGCCAUGCCGCGUGUGUGAAGAAGGUCUUCGGAUUGUAAAGCACUUUAAGUUGGGAGGAAGGGCAGUAAAUUAAUACUUUGCUGUUUUGACGUUACCGACAGAAUAAGCACCGGCUAACUCUGUGCCAGCAGCCGCGGUAAUACAGAGGGUGCAAGCGUUAAUC
rnacentral:rRNA from 1 species